rnacentral:rRNA from 1 species
AACGAACGCUGGCGGCAUGCCUAACACAUGCAAGUCGAACGAGACCUUCGGGUCUAGUGGCGCACGGGUGCGUAACGCGUGGGAACCUGCCCUUAGGUUGGGAAUAACUCCCCGAAAGGGGUGCUAAUACCGGAUAAUUUCUUCGGACCAAAGAUUUAUCGCCUUUGGAUGGGCCCGCGUUGGAUUAGCUAGUUGGUAGGGUAAAAGCCUACCAAGGCGACGAUCCAUAGCUGGUCUGAGAGGAUGAUCAGCCACACUGGGACUGAGACACGGCCCAGACUCCUACGGGAGGCAGCAGUGGGGAAUAUUGGACAAUGGGCGAAAGCCUGAUCCAGCAAUGCCGCGUGAGUGAUGAAGGCCUUAGGGUUGUAAAGCUCUUUUACCCGGGAUGAUAAUGACAGUACCGGGAGAAUAAGCGCCGGCUAACUCCGUG